UGGCGGACGGGUGAGUAACGCGUGGAAAACCUGCCGUAUACUGGGGGAUAACACUUAGAAAUAGGUGCUAAUACCGCAUAAGCGCACAGCUUCGCAUGAAGCGGUGUGAAAAACUUUGGUGGUAUACGAUGGUUCCGCGUCUGAUUAGCUAGUUGGUGGGGUAAUGGCCUACCAAGGCAACGAUCAGUAGCCGGCCUGAGAGGGUGAACGGCCACAUUGGGACUGAGACACGGCCCAAACUCCUACGGGAGGCAGCAG
rnacentral:rRNA from 1 species